AUGGCCGGGCGUGAACGGAGCGCGCGCGCAAUGUCGUCGUCGCCGCCUCCCCCGCCGCUGCUGACCAACGAGCUGUCGCGCAGGACGCCGGUGCUGGGGCUGCGCCUCUGGGUGCUCGUCGGCCUCGCGGUCGGCGCCGCCUUCCUGCUCCUCCUCGCGCUCAUCUCGGUCCACCUCGCCGUGGCGGCGCGGCGGCGCCGUCCCAAGGGGAAGACGGCGGCCGCGGCGCCGGCGCCGCUGUCGCCCGCGACCAUCCCGCCGGUGUCCAAGGAGAUCCAGGAGGUGGCCGUCCACGUGGGCUCCCUCCGCCACUACCUCGAGAUGGGCGCCGCGUACCUCAAGGACGGCAGCAAGGACGGCGGCGACUCGCUGUGCGGCAGCGUGGCGCACGGGUCGCAGCGCGUGCACAUCGAGGCCGGCAAGGACCGGCGCAUGGUGGCGGCGGACGCGGAGGCCGGGUCCGUGCAGUCCGACCCGGCGUCGUCCGUGGGGGUGGGGCCCGAGGUGUCGCACCUCGGGUGGGGCCACUGGUACACGCUCCGGGAGCUGGACGAGGCCACGGCCGGCUUCGCCCCCGACCGCGUCGUCGGCGAGGGCGGCUACGGCAUCGUCUACCUCGGCGUCUUUGCCGACGGCCGCCAGGUCGCCGUCAAGAAUCUCCUCAACAACAGGGGGCAGGCGGAGAGGGAGUUCACGGUGGAGGUGGAGGCGAUCGGCCGCGUCCGCCACAAGAACCUCGUCCGGCUGCUGGGCUACUGCGUCGAGGGAGCGCACCGGAUCCUGGUGUACGAGUACGUCGACAAUGGCAACCUGGAGCAGUGGCUUCACGGCGACGUCGGGCCCGUCAGCCCGCUCUCCUGGGACGCCCGGAUGGACAUCGUGCUCGGGACAGCCAAAGGGAUCACGUACCUGCACGAGGGGCUGGAGCCCAAGGUGGUGCACAGGGACAUCAAGUCCAGCAACAUACUGCUGGACAAGCGGUGGAACUCCAAGGUCUCCGACUUCGGCCUCGCCAAGCUCCUCGGCUCCGACAGCAACUACGUCACCACCAGAGUCAUGGGAACAUUUGGCUACGUGGCGCCGGAGUACGCGAGCACCGGCAUGCUGAACGAGAGGAGCGACGUGUACAGCUUCGGGGUGCUCAUCAUGGAGAUCAUCUCCGGCCGAUGCCCGGUCGACUACGCUAGGCCUCCCACGGAGGUGAAUCUGGUGGAGUGGCUGAAGAAGAUGGUGAGCAACAGGGACUACGAGGCCGUUCUGGACCCGAAACUGCCGGAGAAGCCGACCUCCAAGGCCCUGAAGAAGGCGCUCCUGGUGGCGCUGAGGUGCGUGGAUCCCGACUCGCAGAAGCGGCCCAAGAUGGGGCAUGCCAUCCACAUGCUCGAGGUCGACGACUUCCCCUACCGAGAAGAUCGUCGGACUCUGCGGCCGUGCCAAGGCAGUCCCCUGGAGAAAUCAAGGAAGCCGGUGACAGAAUCAGGCCAUAGCAGCUGCUACGAUGGCAACAGCAGCACCGCUGCCACUACGCCGUCCAGGUUCCAGUAG
rnacentral:rRNA from 1 species